CACUACACUGGGAGUACACACACACACACACACACUGGGAGUACACACACACACACACACACUCUACACUGGGAGUUCGACCACCUCAGUAAGUAACACACUGGAUUGGUUCAAAUUCUCUACUCUUCUCCAGAAGUGUGCACUCAUUCACUCCCCCUCCAUUUAAAAGCAUUGGAUUGGAGGAAGCGUGGCCAGAGGGAGUGUCCACCAUAUUCCUCAGUCCAUCCCUUCUGAAUCCAUGAGGGGGAGUGUGAGUGCACCCUUCUCCUGAAGAGCACGACCGCUGGAGGAAGUACCACUAAGGCCCCGCCCCGACCCGGCAGGGAGAAGCCUGACCUCUGACCCUAGUUCUGUAAAAUACCACCGUUGUGACCAAGGAUAAAUAAAACUACUUCUAACAUUUAA